rnacentral:rRNA from 1 species
CUACGGGACGCUCCAGUGGGGAAUAUUGCACAAUGGGCGCAAGCCUGAUGCAGCCAUGCCGCGUGUAUGAAGAAGGCCUUCGGGUUGUAAAGUACUUUCAGCGGGGAGGAAGGGAGUAAAGUUAAUACCUUUGCUCAUUGACGUUACCCGCAGAAGAAGCACCGGCUAACUCCGUGCCAGCAGCCGCGGUAAUACGGAGGGUGCAAGCGUUAAUCGGAAUUACUGGGCGUAAAGCGCACGCAGGCGGUUUGUUAAGUCAGAUGUGAAAUCCCCGGGCUCAACCUGGGAACUGCAUCUGAUACUGGCAAGCUUGAGUCUCGUAGAGGGGGGUAGAAUUCCAGGUGUAGCGGUGAAGUGCGUAGAGAUCUGGAGGAAUACCGGUGGCGAAGGCGGCCCCCUGGACGAAGACUGACGCUCAGGUGCGAAAGCGUGGGGAGCAAACAGGAUUAGAUACCCGAGUAGUC